rnacentral:misc_RNA from 1 species
GAUGAAGAACGUAGCGAAAUGCGAUAAGUAAUGCGAAUUGCAGAAUUUCCGUGAGUCAUCGAAUCUUUGAACGCACAUUGCGCCCACUGGUAUUCCGGUGGGCAUGCCUGUUCGAGCGUCAUUAUCCUCCCUCAAACCUCUGUGUUUGGUGUUGGGCCGCGUUGGUGUCAAAGCUAACUGGUCUCAAAGACAAUGACGGCGUCCGUGGGACCCUCUUCGCAACGAGCAUCUUCGGAAGCACGCGUCGAGUCUAAAGGACCUUCCGGGCCGGUCUACCCUUUAUCUUUCUAAGGUUGACCUCGGAUCAGGUAGGAAUACCCGCUGAACUUAAGCAUAUCAAUAAGCGGAGGA